CGAUAUAGUCCAGCGGUUAGGAUAUUCCGCUUUCACCGGAAAGACCCGGGUUCGAGUACGUUACCA